rnacentral:lncRNA from 1 species
GCUAACGUUGCUUCCAGAGGCAGUUUGGAACUUGGUAGUGAGUGUGGCAACUGAGGACGGGCGAACUGACUUGUUGGAAAGGUGGCAUCCUAUGACUGUGCCACUUUGAAAGUCACUGAGCUCUUCAGUAAGGCCGUUCUACUGCCAAUAUUUGUAUAUGGCGAUUGCAUGCCUGUGUGCUCAAUUUUAUACACUAGUCAGCAACGGGUGUGGUUGAAAUGGCCAAAUCCACAAAUUUGAAGGGCUGUCCACAUACACUAUAUAUACAAAAGUAUGUCGCCCUUACCUUGCUCCCCCAUCUUUAGUCCACUUAGCAGAUCAAUGCUCUCUGGUCCAUCUUCUAUUGUCUCCUCUUUCACCAGCAGCAGAUCAGGCUUCCCAUCCUCCAUGUUGUCUACUGACUGCAAGAAAUAAGGUUGGGUUUACUUGACACUAUUUGGGUUGGAAUUUGAUCUUUCAAAGGCAUGUCAAGACCAGGGCAGUGGCACUCAUACUAUGAGACAAUCUAGGGUGGCGCAAUGGUCUUAGGCACUGCAUCGCCGUGCUAGAGGCAUCACUACAGACCCUGGUUCGAUCCUGGGCUGUAUCACAACCGGCUGUGAUCGGGAGGGCGGCGCAUAAUUGGCCCAGGGUCGUCCGGGUUUGGCCGGGGUAGGCCGUCAUUGUAAAUAAGAAUUUGUUCUUAACUGACUUGCCUAGUUGAAUAGAGGAUAUGUCCAUAUAAUCUUAUUAAUUAUGAUCUACAAGGCAAACUGAUCUUAGAUCAACACUCCUGAGACACUGACCUAGUACCAUUCAAACAGUAGUUCAGUGGGCUCACCUCAGUGAGACUGUGUGUAGUCCUGUGCUGCUCAGCUGGUUCCUCUGUGGGUUCAGGAGGAGGUAUAGUCUGGUUGUCCUCCAUGACCAUGGUCCCCUCAGGGUUCCCCAGACCCUCCUCACACCCCUCCUCCUUCACCAGCAGCACCUCUGGACCCUCCUCUUCCUCCUCCGUGAUGCUGCAUAGGGCCCCGGGCUGGGGCGCGGUGGCGAGGUCCUCUGUGGCUAGAGGGGGUGCCACUCCAGCCACUCCAAUCUGGAUGUCUCUGCUGUGUCGUCGGUGCUCUCCUUCAGUCCUCUCCUGCUUGACCAAAGACGAUCCUCCAGGACCUACAGCCUCUGCAUCUGCAGACUGACACAAGAAGAGGAUUACAGUGUUGUUCCUGAGCCCAGAGUUGAGGAAGCUGUCUAAUCCACUGACCUCCGAUGUCGCCUCUGGUCCUGGCCUGCUUGGUGAUGUCAUCAAAAAUCUCUGAAGCUGGAGUCUUAUAUCUCCCUCUCUAACUUUAAGCAUCAGCUGUCUGAGCAGCUUACCGAUCACUGUACCUGUACUCAGCCAAUCUGUAAAUAGCACACCCGACUACCUCAUCCCCAUAGUAUUACUUACCCUCUUGCUCUUUUGCACCCCAGUAUCUCUACUUGCACAUCAUCAUCUGCACAUCUAUCACUCCAGUAUUAAUGCUAAAUUGUAAUUAUUUUCGCCUCUAGGGCCUAUUUAUUGCCUACCUCCCUAAUCUUCUACAUUUGCACUCACUGUACAUAGAUUUUUCAAUUUUUCUUUUCUUUUGUGUUAUUGACUGUACAUUUGUUUAUGUGCAACUCUGUGUUGUUGUUUCUGUCGCACUGCUUUGCUUUAUCUUGGCCAGGUCGCAGUUGUAAACGAUAACUUGUUCUCAACUGGCCUACCUGGUUAAAUAAAGGUGAAAUAAAAAAAUAUAAAUAAAAUCCCUAGGGGCCUUGGUUGCACAAGUCUGGGAAUCCAAGAUGGCCGCCCAGUCUCCU